CCCUUAGAUGUCCUGGGCCGCACGCGCGCUACACUGAGUGUCUGAGGUACGAGUCUGCCUGGUCCGGCAAGGUCUAGGUAAUCGCUAAAAGACACAUCAUGCUUGGGAUAGAUUAUUGCAAAUAUUAAUCUUGAACGAGGAAUUCCUAGUAAGCGCAAGUCAACAGCUUGCGUUGAUUACGUCCCUGCCCUUUGUACACACCGCCCGUCGCUACUACUGAUUGGAUGUUUAAGCGAGGUUCUCGAACUGCUAGCGACUUAGCUUCGGUGAGGUCGCAGUGUGGGAAGUGAACCUAGCUUUGGUGUCUAGAGGAAGUAAAAGUCGUAACA
rnacentral:rRNA from 1 species